rnacentral:rRNA from 1 species
GACGAACCGUGCGAACGUUGUUCGGAAUCACUGGGCUUAAAGGGCGCGUAGGCGGGUUCUCAAGUCUGGAGUGAAAGCCCGCGGCUCAACCGCGGAAGCGCUUCGGAUACUGGGGGCCUCGAGGGGGGUAGGGGCGUGCGGAACUUCCGGUGGAGCGGUGAAAUGCGUAGAUAUCGAGAGGAACACCAGAGGUGAAGACGGGUUGCUGGGCCGACACUGACGCUGAGGCGCGAAAGCCAGGGGAGCAAACGGG